CCUACGGGAGGCAGCAGUGGGGAAUAUUGGGCAAUGGAGGCAACUCUGACCCAGCAACGCCGCGUGAAUGAUGAAGGUCUUCGGAUUGUUAAGCUCUGUGAUGGGGGAUGAACACAAUGACGGUACCUGAUUAAGAAGCCCCGGCUAACUACGUGCCAGCAGCCGCGGUAAUACGUAGGGGGCAAGCGUUAUCCGGAUUUACUGGGUGUAAAGGGAGCGUAGACGGCAGCGCAAGUCUGAAGUGAAAUGCCGGGGCUUAACCCCGGAACUGGUUUGGAAACUGUGCAGCUAGAGUGCAGGAGAGGUAAGUGGAAUUCGUGGUGUAGCGGUGAAAUGCGUAGAUAUUAGGAGGAACACCGGUGGCGAAGGCGGCUUACUGGACUGUAACUGACGUUGAGGCUCGAAAGCGUGGGGAGCAAACAGGAUUAGAUACCCCUGUAGUC
rnacentral:rRNA from 1 species